rnacentral:rRNA from 1 species
GCAGCCAGGCUAACUCUGUGCCAGCAGCCGCGGUAAUACAGAGGGUGCAAGCGUUAAUCGGAUUUACUGGGCGUAAAGCGCGCGUAGGCGGCUAAUUAAGUCAAAUGUGAAAUCCCCGAGCUUAACUUGGGAAUUGCAUUCGAUACUGGUUAGCUAGAGUGUGGGAGAGGAUGGUAGAAUUCCAGGUGUAGCGGUGAAAUGCGUAGAGAUCUGGAGGAAUACCGAUGGCGAAGGCAGCCAUCUGGCCUAACACUGACGCUGAGGUGCGAAAGCAUGGGGAGCAAACAGGAUUAGAUACCCUGGUAGUCCAUGCCGUAAACGAUGUCUACUAGCCGUUGGGGCCUUUGAGGCUUUAGUGGCGCAGCUAACGCGAUAAGUAUACCGCCUGGGGAGUACGGUCGCAAGACUAAAAAUCCAAUGAAUUGACGGGGGCCCGCACAAAGCGGUGGAGCAUGUGGGUUAAUUCGAUGCGAAGCGAAGAAACUUUACUUGGCCUGACCUAGU